GCCUCUCCAUUAGUCUCAGUGGUAGAGCAUCUACCUUGCAAGCAGAAGGUCUCAGUUUUAAUCCCUGGCAUCUCCA